rnacentral:tRNA from 28 species
CUAGGAUCCUAAUUUAGACUAUUGUUUG